rnacentral:lncRNA from 1 species
AAAAUAAGUUCAUACAAUUUCAAGAACUAAAUAAUAAAAAUACAAGAACCGUUGUCGCCUUUGUUAGGGCUUCAUCCUGCCCUGGUGAAGAGCUUAGGCUUGUAUGCAGUGGUGGACGGCAGCAGCGCAGGAAGCUUGCAUCUCUUCUUCUCUUCCUCUCUUCUCUGAUUCUCUCCUUCUUUCUUUGUCUUCCGUGGGACUCCCUGAAUAAAAGAAUUAAUGGAUGAGAACAGAUGGAUCCCCCUGAAUGAAUUCCCAAGGAGGAGAACUCUCCUCCUUUUAUAGGCUCGACAUCCCCGGUUUUGCCUCACGUGGUUGUUGCGAGUGGGAAGAUAAGACACGGGAUGCACGCAAAGUCUUGGAGAUAAGAGCUGAUUGCGGAAAAGAAGCGGGGUGCAGUUGCUGGGAUGCGGAGGAAAUGCGUGAUCUGUAAACGGCUGGAAGUGAUCCGGAAGGAGUAGAGAUGUGGAUGCUUGAUCGCAAAGGAGGGAAGUUUGGGAUGCUAAGAAUGAAUGCUUGAAUCAAAGGGAGAUGAAGCCUAUCCGGAUGCUGGAAAGCUUGAACUCGGCUGUCCGCUGGAUUCGGCUAGAAGUGGUCCCGAAAUAGGGGAAUCCGUGAGCCUCGGGAUGCUGGGAACGAACGCCUAGGAUCCGUGGAUGUGAAAUGAUCCGGAAGAUGUUGUGGCUUUGGUCCAUGAUGAAGAGAAGAUGGAUGCUGAGUCUGCUGGUCCGUGAAGCUCAGGAGGAUGGCGUUGAAUCCUGGCUGGCCGUGGCAUGUGCGGAAGACGCGAAACGCUGGGAGAAUCCUUCGCGAGUGGACGUGGAGAGGAUCUCGGACGGUUGGAACAAGUGUGGGAUGUUGGGACUCUGUUCCGAAGCAGGAGAUAAGAAUGCAACGUGGACGGCUAGGAGAUGAUCCGGAAGAAGCUGCUGCUGGAAUUGGCUUGAAUCAAUCCGGACGAAGAGAAUGGGUGCAGCGGAUGCUGAGAUUUUGCUAGGUUUUGGUGCUCAUCCCUUGGCUGAACUCUGUUCCACUGGGAGAAAAGAUCGGAAGCUGGGAGGAAUUCGAAAGGCUGGAUUGUCUUGGAUGCGGGAUUUUGAGUGGCUAAUUGCAAACGGGAUGAAGGCUGGACAGCUGUGGAUGAUGAGGGAUGAAAAUGGAGUUGAUCCGGAAUGAGAGGAUCUGGAAGGAUCAAGGCUAAUACAAACUUGAUUCAGGAUGUUUGAGGCGCUGAAGAUGAUGCUAAAGAGUUUGGAAAUUGGCUGGAAAUGCUGGGAUAAGAGUGGAUCAGGGGAUGAUGCAGUUGGGAUUAUGUUUGGAUGGAUCUUGGCUCUGCUCCGAAGCAAGGAAAAGAAACGUGUGAACUCGUCCGUGGAUAAGAACGGGAAGGCUGGGAGCUAGCGGAAGAAGAGGAAUACGUGGGAGACUCUGUUCUUUGGGUUCGGAAGGGAGGGAAUAAUAUGCAGAGUAUCUUGGUACGUGGGAGUGAAGGAGAGAGACUUGUUCGGAUUCAUGAAAAUGAGUUGUUUGGGAUGGCACGUGCUAAGAAAUGAAAUUGAGGUUGACUCUAAUUGGUUGGGAGGAUGGCUCUGUCUUGAGGGCCCAACUCUAUUCGUGGACCUGAACGGCAUGCACAUGGGAUGAGAGCGAAUUGUUCUAAUGGGUGAACGCGUGAAGAGAUUGAAUGCGAGUGGCUGAGAUAUGAAGCGAAGGAGUUAAUUCAUAGAUGUAGACAUGGGAUGGACUCGGAAAGGCGUGAA